rnacentral:tRNA from 1 species
GGUCUCGUGGUGUAAUGGUUAGCACUUUGGACUUUGAAUCCAACGAUACGAGUUCAAAUCUCGGUGGGACCU